GUGCAUCUAUUUUACAGACCUGGGGCAUUGUCUGCUUCUAAGGUUUCCACUACAGAUGCGAGAAGAAAGUUCCUUGGCUUUCUGUCUGUCUGCUUGUGGCAGCCAAGACUGACUAGGGAAAUACAGGA
ensembl:snoRNA small nucleolar RNA SNORA31